CUUGUGUGCAAACCGGUCCGUUACAAUUGGUGGCAAGCGGCGGGAUCGUUCCUACAGCCAGAAGGACAGCUACAGGAGACACCAUUUCUUUGGAUUUACAAGUUAAGGGCAACGCAUGUCCUAGUACAGCAACCCUGACAGCACCAGGAUGGAACCAGCAGUGGAGUACAGCUACUCUAUGAGAGAGUAUGACCGGAUGGUGUGGUUUCACCUAAGCUUCUUCGGAUCCAACCCACUGGAGAGAUCGGUGCGGUUCGUGAGGAACCUAGUGUUUGAGAGGCUGCAACAACGGGCAGAAAGAGAAGGUCAGUUGGCACGUUGGGAGAAACUCCAGCGGCAGAUACAGCAGGGAAUUGGGAGCCCAGUCUCCACUCCCCAGCGGCAGUGUGAUAUGCCGGGAAUUGGGAGCCCAGUCUCCAUUCCCCAGCUGCAGUGUAAAGUGCAGGGAGAGGAGAGCAGCGUCCUCCCUCCCC